rnacentral:rRNA from 1 species
GAGUAAAGCAUCGGAACGUGCCCUGAAGUGGGGGAUAACGUAGCGAAAGUUACGCUAAUACCGCAUAUUCUGUGAGCAGGAAAGCAGGGGAUCGCAAGACCUUGUGCUUUAGGAGCGGCCGAUGUCGGAUUAGCUAGUUGGUGAGGUAAAGGCUCACCAAGGCGACGAUCCAUAGCGGGUCUGAGAGGAUGAUCCGCCACACUGGGACUGAGACACGGCCCAGACUCCUACGGGAGGCAGCAGUGGGGAAUUUUGGACAAUGGGCGCAAGCCUGAUCCAGCCAUGCCGCGUGAGUGAAGAAGGCCUUCGGGUUGUAAAGCUCUUUCGGCGGGGAAGAAAUGGCAACGGUUAAUACCUGUUGUUGAUGACGGUACCCGCAUAAGAAGCACCGGCUAACUACGUGCCAGCAGCCGCGGUAAUACGUAGGGUGCGAGCGUUAAUCGGAAUUACUGGGCGUAAAGCGUGCGCAGGCGGUUGUAUAAGUCAGAUGUGAAAUCCCCGGGCUCAACCUGGGAACUGCAUUUGAGACUGUACGGCUAGAGUUUGGCAGAGGGGGGUGGAAUUCCACGUGUAGCAGUGAAAUGCGUAGAGAUGUGGAGGAACACCGAUGGCGAAGGCAGCCCCCUGGGCCAAUACUGACGCUCAUGCACGAAAGCGUGGGGAGUAAACAGGAUUAGAUACCCUGGUAGUCCACGCCCU